rnacentral:rRNA from 1 species
AUUGAACGCUGGCGGCAGGCCUAACACAUGCAAGUAGAACGUGCGGCGGACGGGCGAGUAAUGUAUGGGGACUGCGCGAUAGAGGGGGAUAACUACUGGAAAAGGGAGAUAUUACCGCAUACUACCGGAUCACCCAUAUGGGUUUAGCGAGUAGGUGAGGUAAUGGCGCACCUAGGCGAGGAUCCCUAGCUGGUCUCAGAGGAGGAUCCACCACUCUGGGACUGAGACACGGCCCAGACUCCUCCGGAGGGAGCAGUGGGGAAUAUUGCACAAUGGGAGCAAGCCUGAUUGAGCCAUGCCGCGUGUAUGGAGAAGGCCCUAGGGUUUUACAGUACUUUCAGUCGAGAGGCGUUACCGACAGAAGAAGCGCCGGAUGACUCCGUGCCAGCAGCCGCGGUAAUAC